rnacentral:ncRNA from 1 species
CAAAGGUUUGGUCCUGACUUUAUUAUCAGCUAUAGCUAAACUUACACAUGCAAGUAUCCGCCCCCCCGUGAGAAUGCCCUCAGCCCUUUACCCCAGGAUGAGGAGCUGGUAUCAGGCUCACAUUCUUGUAGCCCACAACACCUUGCUUAGCCACACCCCCAAGGGUAGUCAGCAGUGAUAAACCUUAAGCUAUAAGUGAAAACUUGACUCAGUCAAAGCUAAGAGAGUCGGUAAAUCUCGUGCCAGCCACCGCGGUUAUACGAAAGACUCAAACUGAUAAUGUAACGGCGUAAAGAGUGGUUAAGAAAACUAUAAACUAAGGCCGAAUCCCCUCCUGGUAGUCAUACACAUCCGAACAUACGAAGCCCAUUCACGAAAGUAGCCUUAACACAAUCUGACUCCACGAAAGCUACGACACAAACUGGGAUUAGACACCCCACUAUGCCUAGCCGUAAACAUCAAUAGACCCUCACACAACUAUUCGCCUGAGAACUACGAGCAUUAGCUUAAAACUCAAAGGACUUGGCGGUGCUUAAGACCCAUCUAGAGGAGCCUGUUCUAUAACUGAUAGUCCCCGUUAAACCUCACCCCCUCUUGUUUCUCCCGCCUAUAUACCGCCGUCGUCAGCUUACCUUUUAAAAGUCCAACAGUAAGCAAAACUAGUAUUAACCCUAAACGUCAGGUCGAGGUGUAGCGUAUGAGAGGGAAAGAAAUGGGCUACAUUCUCUAACUUAGUAGACCCGAACAAUGCACUGAAACAUAUAUUUAAAGAUGGAUUUAGAAGUAAGUAGAAAACAGAGCGUCCUACUGAAGUCGGCCCUAAAGCGCGCACACACCGCCCGUCAUCCUCCCCAAACACACAACCAAUUAACAUUAAAACAAUAACAACAACAGGAGAGGCAAGUCGUAACACGGUAAGUGUACCGGAAGAUGCACUUGGAUUAU